GGCUGUGAGUGCAAUCAGGCUGUGACACCUGUCACCCCAUUGAUGAUCAGGAUUGUUUUGGCAGUGUUCUGACUGGAUGGGUGGGUGUUUAUUCCUUCCUCAUCACUCCAUGUGUGUCUCACUCCCCAAGCUGUGCAGUCAGUGGAAGAGAUCCUCCUCCAUAAAGGCAGCUCUUCCUUGGUUAAAGGUGUAUGAAUAGGUAUGCUCCAUUGCUAGAACCUUUCAAGUGAGCUCUCAAAAUAUAUCUCAUAGGCUAUCUCUAUGUAGCAAAAUCUAUUCUGCAAUUCUUUUGCA
rfam:Dipodomys ordii contig_32972, whole genome shotgun sequence.